ensembl:lncRNA
GUAAAGUGAAAUCCCCGAGAGAGGAGCCCCUCCAUUCAACAGCCGGCUAAUGGGAGGUCAGAACAGGAUCCUUGUAUCUUGUAACGCUUGAGCGGUAGUCAUAUGCUUCCGCCAUAGUGACUCAUAAAGUUGAAAAGAACUGUGACUAAUAUGACUCAAUGUGUAAACAUAAUGGACAAACCAAAGCGCAUUGAAAAUCUCCCUUCUGUUUAAUCAAGGAGCAGCAAGGACCCAGUGACAGUUGUGUUGGCAGAGGGGAAUGAACUGACCUACUUUUAUAAUGAUGGAGUCUUGAUGGAGCUGAAGCAUAAAUAAAUGAAUAUAUUGAGUUUACAGAUUGGGUAGUGGCCUCUAUAGAGAAAACACAGGGUUAUGAAGAAACCGUAGGAGGAACAAUGGCUCGAAAAAGGACACCCGUCCUCCUCUGCUCGACUUGGAACUCAAUUUGUCCUCCUGCACAGUUUUGGCAAGAAAAAGCCAUCUGAAGGCAUAAAUAUACAUUGAGCAUCAGUCUGUGGUUUAUGGCAGAGAACCUACGCAACAAACAACAAACGUCUACGUAUUACAGCAAAAGCCUACGCUAAAAGGAAAUCGCACACUUAUACGUAGAUAUGUUUAUUUGUGUUGCCAUUGUGGGCCGCUCUCACGCUGAACUACAGGCCUGAGAGGAAGUUUCCAGUGCGGUUACCAUGACGAGGGUCUUGGAGUACAGGAAGUUCAGUGCUAAGAGAAAUGACAUCCGAGAGGGACCCAGACAAACAUUUGUCCAGAUGAACUGGGGUAACAGGAUUGUGUUUGGACAGGAGCUUCUCUCCGCAGGGAACAAGGCAAAACAAAGAAAAGCCCCCUCGGCUGGAGAGAGAGAGAGGGAUGGAAUGAGAAAGAGAGCUAGUGAAACAGUGAGUCAUGAGUGCAGCUUUGAACAACAAGGGGAAAUCCUCCUAUUGAGAGGCAUGUGCUAUGGAAACACAUCACUCAUAGAGCAUUCUUGGGGGAAGGGAUUAAAGACUGAGAAGGGGGUUGGAAAGGGCAGAACAAUUACCCUGAAGAGACGGUGGGCCAGACCCCUGCAGGUGGAGCUGACAGGGCGAGACCUCAGGCUGUCAUGAGCUAUUAGCUAGGCAGAGACGGCCAGAGAACACACACUCAGAAGGAGCAACUAUAUGAAGAAUAGCUUUUUUCUCCUGGUCUAGGCUAUGUCCAGCAUACUACUUGUACUGUUUCUUCUGUAUGUUGUUGUAAGUGAGGUUUGGACUACAUUCUGCAUGCAUAAUAUAUUCACUAUACAGGCUAUACAGCAAAUGACUGUGAAGUGCAAUAUAGGGCCACAGACUUUAAUCGCUCAGACUUUUCUGUAAGAGCUGUCAGUAUUUGGAACACACUACAAAAUAACAUUAGACUGUGUUCCACCUUUGCUUAAUUUAAGUUAUGACUAAAAAUAUGACUAAAGAUGAGCCAAAUAUGUGAUUGUUGAAAAACCUUUUUUAAUCAUUAUUCAUUAGAAUUCAUUCAUUUUAAGUGUAUUAGCUUUUAUUAUAGUGCAACUUGCUUGUAAUUGUAUUACUGCUAUUUGUAGUUUUUUUCUUUCUUUUUUUGCAUUAGGUGUGUUCAGUGUAUGCUAAUUAAUGGAUGUUUUAAUUACAGCGUAUAUUGCUUUUUUUUUCCUGCUUAGGGACUGCAGAGGAAAAUUAGUAAAUUUCAAAUAAUUGAUAACUAAAUAUAUUUCUGAACAAAAUGCCCUUUAUUUCACUUUCCAUUUCCAAUAUGAAAUAAUAAAUAUAAACUGUGAUUUUUAAUACA